rnacentral:rRNA from 1 species
UACGGAGGGAGCUAGCGUUGUUCGGAAUUACUGGGCGUAAAGCGCGCGUAGGCGGCUUUGUAAGUUAGAGGUGAAAGCCCGGGGCUCAACCCCGGAACUGCCUUUAAGACUGCAUCGCUUGAAUCCGGGAGAGGUGAGUGGAAUUUCCGGUGUAGCGGUGAAAUGCGUAGAUAUCGGAAGGAACACCUGUGGCGAAAGCGGCUCACUGGACCAUAACUGACGCUGAGGCGCGAAAGCUAGGGGAGCAAACAGG